rnacentral:rRNA from 1 species
AUUGAACGCUGGCGACAUGCCUUACACAUGCAAGUCGAACGGCAGCACGGGUGCUUGCACCUGGUGGCGAGUGGCGAACGGGUGAGUAAUACAUCGGAACAUGUCCUGUAGUGGGGGAUAGCCGGGCGAAAGCCGGAUUAAUACCGCAUACGAUCUACGGAGGAAAGCGGGGGACCUUCGGGCCUCGCGCUAUGGGGUUGGCCGAUGGCUGAUUAGCUAGUUGGUGGGGUAAAGGCCUACCAAGGCGACGAUCAGUAGCUGGUCUGAGAGGACGACCAGCCACACUGGGACUGAGACACGGCCCAGACUCCUACGGGAGGCAGCAGUGGGGAAUUUUGGACAAUGGGCGAAAGCCUGAUCCAGCAAUGCCGCGUGUGUGAAGAAGGCCUUCGGGUUGUAAAGCACUUUUGUCCGGAAAGAAAUCCUUGGCCCUAAUACGGUCGGGGGAUGACGGUACCGGAAGAAUAAGCACCGGCUAACUACGUG